rnacentral:rRNA from 1 species
UACAGAGGGGGCAAGCGUUGUUCGGAAUUACUGGGCGUAAAGGGCGCGUAGGCGGCCUGCUAAGUCGAACGUGAAAUCCCCGGGCUCAACCCGGGAACUGCGUCCGAUACUGGCAGGCUUGAAUUCGGGAGAGGGAUGCGGAAUUCCAGGUGUAGCGGUGAAAUGCGUAGAUAUCUGGAGGAACACCGGUGGCGAAGGCGGCAUCCUGGACCGAAAUUGACGCUGAGACGCGAAAGCGUGGGGAGCGAACAGG